GGGGCUUCCACGGAGAACAAAGGCCUCUGUGAAGCCUGAACUCCAGUAGGGCCCAAGCCAGCCAGGAAGGAGGAGGCAGCCAGAGAGGCCUCCACUGUUCUCUGCAGCAGAAGACCCCCUGCUGCCAGGUAUACCUGCUCUCCACUUGAAUAAAAAGCUGCUGUUUAUUGAAGAAAUGAUUUUUGUUGUAUUGAUAAGAAUCCAAUUUGCACUGACGGAUACUUUGGAGGCAGAAGCUGUCAAUGAAGAAAUUGAAUCAGAAAAAGUCUCAUUGCCACUCCUCCUUUAACUGAGUUUGAUGUUGGAUGCAAGAAAUAAUUCCAUCUCCUUUCUUCAGUGAUUUGGAGACAUUUUUGGAGACAAGAGUAAAAAAUGAAGCGACCUAGAAGUACAUGAUGGUUUUAAAAUACAGGAAGGCUGCCCUUCUCAGAAAUCAAGGCUUCCUGCAGCACCCAUAUGCUGCCUCCCACUCUUUCUCCCCCUUGGAUAUCAAGCAUACCAUCCGCUCCAGCUGAUUUCAUGACAACCCUCCCAAGUCAACACUUUCUGGACAAGCAAAACAUGCUCUGCUCAGGGUUCUUCUAUGUGCUUCUCUUAGUGUUUGACUUUCAAAAUAAUUGGUGGUUUUGCUUGAAAAAAAUUGUUUAAAUAUUGUCCCUGUUCCUGAUUUUUCUCCAACUGUUUCCCCCCCUCUGCUUCUUUAUUCCUUCUUUCCCCCCAUUCUGCAUUCUCUUCCUUUACUGCCAGUCACCUCUUCUGCACAAUCUGUUCCUCUUCUGCCCUUACCCUUUUUGUCUCAUCAUCAACAGCAGCAGAAAAGAAACAGUUAAAUGGAACUCACGGCACACACAUCCCCAAGCAUGCCAGAGUGCCUCUGGCAAACUCCACCUUAUUUUUUUCAGGAGUAACAUAUCUCCAUGAAGGCAUAUACAUAACCGAUAAUUAAUGUAUUGCUGGUCUUAGAAAGAAAAUCAAGUUUUAUAAUUUUAAAAAACCCACCUCCUAUAUAUUGUUUUUCUAGUGACUUUAAGAAUUAAAAUGUGAAAACACAAUUUGGUUUGAGAAUGAAAGUAAUCCUCGGCAGAGCUGCAAUUGUUAUGGGCCUGUGUCAGCAUUUCCAGCAUGAUUCGAGCCCCCCACCCCACCCGGAUUUAUGACUCAUCUGCUUUAAUCCGCAGUGGACCCAAGUUUAACAUUAACAGUCUUGGUCCUGAUCCUAUUAUUAAUACAAAAUUCUAUUUAACACUGUUUGGGUAUUUAAAAAGAGAAUAGGAGAUGUGCUUUAAAAAAAUCAAUUUAAUGUCCUCUUUUUUUUUUUAUGCCUCAACCUUAAGAUUCUCCCAUUCUCCACUUUUUACUGCCAUGAAAAGAUACAGGCCAUUAGUUCGUAAUCUAAAUUAGGCCGAUGUGUGAGAAUAAAUAUCUCUGAAUGGGGGCAAGAUUUUAAAACAUAUGUGGCAUGUGCCAAUGAAGAGCGGGUUCCAUAUCUCCCACACCAGCCCUACCCAAAACAACUGAAUAGGUAUUUCUUUCUACUGCUGAGUAUUGCAGUCUAGGAGGUUUUACUAAGUGUUAUGCAACCAAGGAUGAACCCUUACUUUGUGUGUGUGGUUUUUUUUUGUGUUUGUUUUUAAAGUAGAGAGAUUUAUUUUUUGGAAGAUCCUGAGGUCAGCAGUCAACCCUUUAACAGUUUGGGGGUGGAUUUGUUUAUUUAUUUAUAUAUUUAUUGCAAAUUCAGUGUGCUACAUGAUACAAGUAAUACAUAGUACAUUGACUAUCCUCACUAAUCACUGAACAGCUCAGCACUGUUUAAAAGCUGUACUUAAUAAACAAAACAAUACCAAUCUAUAGGAAACAUUUACAAUGGAAUACAUUGUCAUUGUAGGAACUGUAAUAUUUUCAGUCAGUGUAAGGUUAUUUUCCUCAUAUUCUCUUUCUUCUGCAAAGCUAUUAAAAAAAUCCAACAAAGCCAUUGCAAAAUAUAUUCCAUAUAUAUUUCAUAUCACCACUAAGGAGAAUAUAAACGAAUCAUGGAAGACCCUGUGAACAUUAUAUUUUGCAGUCUUUUAAAUCAAUCAUGUGGCUUUUUAACUGUUUUCAAAUAAAUGGCUGAGAUGCAAAAUAGCUGCAAUAUCAAGGUUUUAAAAGCAUCCACUGUGCAUGCCUAAUAACAUUGCACAAGGAAUUUUUUCUACACAUUCUGCAGUACAGUCCCAGGAUAUGCAAAUCCUGUACAUUGCUAUUAAUAUGCAUUCACAAUUUCACAAGUUAAACCAUAUACAGCAACAAUAAUGAUACGAAAUAAUAAUAAAAUGCAUUCGUUAUGAUCAAUAUAUAGUACACACAUAUUUCAGAAUCUGUCACACAAAAAUAGCUAUGUGCUUUUAAUGUAAUUGUUCUAGAUGCAAUGGGUAGCAUCGAAGCAGACUCAAUUCCUCCUAAUAUAUUUACCUGUAAGUAAUUGUCACUGAAAUCAAUGAAAUGAAAUCAAUGACUUUUUUUGAAAGUAUAUAUGCCACCAAUUUUGCCCUCCAGCUUUCUCCAAAGCUGUAUUUUUUUCAUAGUUAAGGUUCCAGACCUGUGUUUGCAAUGGAAACAGGGGUUUGGAAGACCUCCUUGGUAAGCAAGGGAAGGAUUAAGCACUCUUCUCUCACCUGCUGCUUCCCCGCUAGACAAUACACUCUCCCACUUCUACUUCACAAAGUUGAUUUUCACAGAGACAUGUUGGAGGAUGAAUGUAUAUUCUGGUGUCAGUACAGUGUUGUUAUUAUUCUAUGACUAACAGAAACACAGAACUCCAUACUAUGUGAAAGUCCAGAUUCAGGAUUCUUAGAAGUCAUGGAAUUACUCUCAUUCAGCUUUUUAACAUGCUGUGACACAAACUUCACUCUUCUUUAUAACCAACCUUUUGGUUCUCUGUUCUGUAUUAAUAGAGAUUAGCAUAUGCAAUAGUUAUUCCAUAUCCAGAUUUUAAAGUCACCAUUUCAAAUCAUGCCAUUUAUAGUGAGAUGGUGGCCACGCUGCUCAGAUUUCAGAAAGAGCUUCUGGAGAACUCCACUUCAUGAUAUUCUGAGAAUUUCUGAAAUAUUAAUUUUAAAAUGUCUACUUUCCAGUAGGUAUAUUCAAAGAAAAAAAAUAGUUUCAUUGCAUUUUUGUUCUCAUUUUUUAAAAUUUUGAUUUAUUUUGUUAUUAUUUCAUUUUAAAUUGUUUCAUUUCAUUAUUCAGUUCUUUCAUUUUCAUUUUCCCAUUCAUUUUUGUUUACUAUUGAUUUCAUUUAGAAGUUCAAUCAGUCUUCUAGUCCAUUUAGCUUUGGUAUUUUCCAUGCAAACUGCAUGAUUCUUUCAAACAGUCUACUAAUCCUUCAAGAUAAUAAUAAUAAUAAUAAUAAUAAUAAUAAUAAUAAUAAUAAUUCAAUUUCUAUACCGCCCUUCCAAAAAUGGCUCAGGGCGGUUUACAAAGAGAAAUAACAAAUAAGAUGGCUCCCUGUCCCCAAAGGGCUCACAUUCUAAAAAGAAACAUAAGACACACACCAGCAACAGUCACUGGAAGUACUGUGCUGGGGGUGGAUAGGGCCAGUUACUCUCCCCCUGCUAAAUAAAGAGAAUCACCACGGUAAAAGGUGCCUCUUUGCCCAGUUAGCAAGAUAUAAGUCUUGCCAAAUUUCAGAGUAAUUGGUUAAUGGGUCCCUGGUUUAGAGACAAUUUUACAAGGCACACAUACUCUUAUUUAUUGUAGACAUUUAUAUUCUGCCUUUCUAUUGCAAAGCUCAGUUCCCAAGGCAGCCCACAAGUUAAAACAAAAUAAAUAUAAAACCAAACCAAGCAAACAAACAAAUCUUAAUAAAAUCAAUAAAACACAGCAAUAAAAAUAGUAUCAAACAGGCAGUUGGACAGCUACAGAUUAAGAGCCUUUCAGAAUAAAAAAUGUCUUUGCUGAGCACAGUGCGCAGUGCAAAGCCAGCAAUGAAGGGAUCAAAUAAGAUUCUCCUGGGAGGGAGUUCCAAAAUCUCUUCCAUUGGAAUGAUCACUUUUAGUGGAAGAGUCAGCAGUUCUUAAGCCUAACUCUUCUGUUUUCUGUUCUGUUGGUAUGAUUUUUUUUAAAUGUCACCGAAAGAACCCUCUCAAUAGCAAUAGCAAUAGCACUUACAUUUAUAUACCGCUCUAUAGCUGGAAGCUCUCUAAGCGGUUUACAAUGAUUUAGCAUAUUGCCCCCAACAUUCUGGGUACUCAUUUUACCGACCUCGGAAGGAUGGAAGGCUGAGUCAACCUUGAGCCCCUGGUCAAGAUCGAACUUGCAACCUUCUGGUUACAGGGCGGCAGUUUUACCACUGCGCAACCAGGGGUAGACCAGACUUGCCAAAACAGAUAGACUAAAGACUUCCCACUUCAUAGGUGACUAAAAGGUACACAGAUAUAAUGUCACUGUUAUAGAAUGUCAUGCUUUGGUUGUGUGCCAGGACAGGCUGCAGUUUGGAUGGUCCUGUUCAGGUGUAGGCAGGUGAGGGGUAUUUGAGAGUCUAGGUUACCCAAUGGACCAGGGUUGCAUACAAGGUGAGAGAGUCAAGCAGAGGACUGGAGACAGAAGAUGUAGACAGAGUUGGGCUGGGGUUGAGUACUGAGUGAGACAACCAAAUAGAAGGCCAGGGUUGGGGCAGCGUGAAAGAGUCUUGUGUCCCUACUCCUGUGUGUUGCUCAGACUGCCAGCCUGGCUUAGAGACAAAGGUUUUCUAGGGCCUAUAGGUCACAUGACAUGCCCUUGCUCCAUAAAGAUUUAAUUGGUCUAACUUGCUGAACGAAACAUUUACAGUAUCACAAGAUAUCUGCAAAGCGUGCUUCCAUACUUCCUGUGUUGUGACACUGCAGUCCCUAUGCUGUCAGCAGGGUGCCGUGCUGUUCACAUUUCGGAUGCCUUGUUUCAGAUUUUAUCGUUGCGAUUUAGUGCUAUAACGUUGUAUGUCCAUUGCAAAAAAAUAGCUGUAUUUUCCAUUGUAGAUUCUGGGGGUCGUUUUCAAUUUGAUCCUGCAAGCCGAAGCAUUUUACCAUGGUCGUAGUGGCUAGUCUGGAAAGUGCCCUGGUCAGAUCUCAUUUGAAAUAACCAGUUCAGUCAGGACUGCAAGGUUUGCCUAGAAGAGUAUAAUAUUAGAAAACACAUACUGAGGCUCUAUACAUGAUCUGUGUGUAGAGCCUAACCGGGCUCUGUGGGGAAAACGGACUUAGUCCACUCUCCCUGCAGAUGAGCAGGGAGCUCAUCCUGUGUGGCUGGAUUGGCCACCCAGAUGAUUACUGGGUAUGUCACGGAACUGGUAGGGGUGGUGGGGAUUGGGGGCCGCCCAGCCCCUGGAAGUCCCAGGAUGCCCCGUGCAAGUGCACGGAGCAUUCUGGGGAGACCCCCCUGAGGCUGGGAGCCUCCCAGUCGGGGGUCUUGCUUCAUUCUCCCAGUCGGGGGUCUCCUCACGAGUUGCCACGAUCCAGAGCUGCACCAUGGUGACUCACCAUCAGAACAGGGUUAGUGGAGCGAUCGCUCUUAUUACAGCAUAUGACCAGGAGAAACCGAGCUAGGAGCCCGGUUUCUCCUGGUCAUGAGAAUAGCCUCACUGAGACGAGUCCCCUGCUAAAUGAGCAAAGAGGAGCAAAAAGUGUUGAUUCUCUUUAUUGGGGGGGGGGCAACUGGCCCUCUCCAACCCCAGCACAGCAUCCCUCCAGUGGCUGUUGCUGGUGUCUAGCUUAUGUUUCUUUUUCUUUUUUAAAAAAAGAUUGUGAGCCCUUUGGGGACAGGAAGUCACCAAUAUUUAUGUAUUUAUAUCUAUGUAAACUGCUAUGGGAACUUUUGUUGAAAAGCCAUAUAUAAAUAAAAUGAUAGAAGCAAAAACCAAAAUCACAUAGAAGAAAUGAUGGUUAACCUCUGCUCUUUUAAAAUAGCAACCUCCUUUCCUGCCUUCCUUUAGGCACAGCUCUUCCUUUAAAACAAAUGAGAGAGGAGGAGGUUUUGAGCAGGAAAGUACUGCCUCUUCUCAAGUUCAUUUUAGGGAAAGGAUUCAUGGCCUGGUUUGAAGGUACAAUGUUCAAUAUAUGUUUCAACAUAAACUGUAUUACUAGAAUGAUUAAAAACAAGGUGUUCUAGUAAGAACUAA